rnacentral:ncRNA from 1 species
ACCCGCUGAGUUUAAGCAUAUCAAUAAGAAGAGGAAAAGAAAUUUACAAGGAUUCCCUUAGUAACGGCGAGUGAACUGGGA